CUACGUGCCAGCAGCCGCGGUAAUACGUAGGGUGCAAGCGUUAAUCGGAAUUACUGGGCGUAAAGAGUGCGCAGGCGGUUUUGCAAGACCGAUGUGAAAUCCCCGGGCUUAACCUGGGAACUGCAUUGGUGACUGCAAGGCUAGAGUGUGUCAGAGGGAGGUGGAAUUCCGCAUGUAGCAGUGAAAUGCGUAGAUAUGCGGAGGAACACCGAUGGCGAAGGCAGCCUCCUGGGAUAACACUGACGCUCAUGCACGAAAGCGUGGGGAGCAAACAGGAUUAGAUACCCUGGUAGUCCACGCCCUAAACGAUGUCUACUAGUUGUCGGGGAUUAAUUUCCUUGGUAACGCAGCUAACGCGUGAAGUAGACCGCCUGGGGAGUACGGUCGCAAGAUUAAAACUCAAAGGAAUUGACGGGGACCCGCACAAGCGGUGGAUGAUGUGGAUUAAUUCGAUGCAACGCGAAAAACCUUACCUACGCUUGACAUGGCCG
rnacentral:rRNA from 1 species